AGGAUUACAUAUUAUUAAUUCAGUAGGUAUAAUAUUUAUUUAUAAUUUAAGCAGGUGUAUCUGGCAAAACACAAUUCAAAAUAUUUAAACUUGAUUAAUUGUUAAAACUCGUAUAAAAGGGAUACCACUUUACAUAAAAACUCAUUAGAAAUACUAAAUUAUAUUAAAAUAUUAUUGAGUACAACAUCAAUACAAACUAAAAAUGAACUUUAAAUUCAUCAUUGCCAUGGCAAUUUUCAUCAUCGUUAGUAUGUUUAAUUUAGCACAAGUUGAUGCACAAGCAUCAUCUGCUCCUCCCACGACUGGCACACCUACCUCGACUACCACAACAGGCAACAGCACAUCUCAACCUCCUAAAUCUAGCUCCUAAUCUGCAGAACCUCAUAACCAACAGCAACUACUUGAUAAUAAUAUUCAAUAUGACUAUAGUUGCAAGUCUGAUAUAAGUUCAUAAUUUAUCUUAUAUACUUUCUGAUGGCUAAUGUACCUAUUUUAUAUGCAAAUACAAUUGUAUGCACACUAAGAUGUAUACUCAUAUUAUAUACCCAUUAAAAUACAAAAUAUAUGAUUUAUCCAAAUUUUAAUAUGUUAUUGUAACAUUGCACUUAAUAAUUAUGUAUGCUUUCGAAAAUAAAAAUUUUGAAAAAAAUUGA